rnacentral:rRNA from 1 species
UACGUAGGGUGCAAGCGUUGUCCGGAAUUAUUGGGCGUAAAGAGCUCGUAGGCGGUCUGUCGCGUCUGGUGUGAAAAAUCCAGGGCUUAACCCUGGACCUGCAUCGGGUACGGGCAGACUAGAGUGCGGUAGGGGAGAUCGGAAUUCCUGGUGUAGCGGUGAAAUGCGCAGAUAUCAGGAGGAACACCGGUGGCGAAGGCGGGUCUCUGGGCCGUAACUGACGCUGAGGAGCGAAAGCGUGGGGAGCGAACAGG